AUCCGUCCGGGCCCUACGAGUCGUGUGGGUGCGGCGCUUGGGCUGUAGGCUUCCUGGAGCGGCGCUGAGGGCCCCUUGGAGCGCUGGGUCUUAUUUCCAAACGUGUGGGGGUGGUGUAUACGGCCAGUCCUUUAUUCCAACCCUCUGGAUGUAUUCCUGCUUUAAUACGUAAUCUGGAGCGGUAAAGCCGGUCCCCGUCAGUACACAGAACAGCGCUGUGUCUCAGGGCCUUCAGGCCAUCAUUCCUGGACACCUGCUCGUCCUUGGACAGAGAUAAGUUUGGAAGGAUGGAGGGAAGUAUCUCUUGCAUCCCUCUUGAUCCAGGAGAGUUGAGACAGUUUGGCCUCAUGUGGAAGCCCUGGCUUCUCUGAUCCGUGGUAAGUCUGUUGUUCUUUUGCUAAGAGCUUCUUGACAAAACAGAAUAGCCUUUCAAUACACUUUUUAGUCUAUAAUACAAAAGCUGCAGCCUUUGUACCUGUUAAUCACUUCACCUCCCUACUAAGCAUGCAACAACAUGGAAAGCUUACCUAAAGGACAAGUGAUGAGGACUGUUAGAGACCCCCCUUUGCUGGAAUAAAGAGAAACCCAGAAAGAAUUAUUAGUACCCAUAAAGGACAACAGAUGGCAGCACAGACCACAAAAGACUCAUCUUGUUAGUUCUAACUGCAGAAACAACAUUGCAUUCCCACUGGCUGAUCGGUGACGUUUCUCCAGUGAGCCAAAAUACAACCCAGAAUGGUCUUUUCCAGAAUUUCUUUUGACCCACUUCGUCCCAUAACAGCUGUUUAUCCCAGCCGGUCUUAGGUAUUGGGUGAAAAUCCCUUGUGUGUUGCUGGGUAAUGGGGUCCACUUGCUUCCCCAGGGCAAUGUCCCCCAGCAAGAGUAUUUCAAACAGGGAAUGUAAUUCCACGAGUAACCUUUUUACAACACAAACAUUUAACAGUUACAAAGACAGGCAGUGACAAUGACUAAUACAGCUAUCUGUACAAGGGGGGGGGGGGGGAUCCCCCCAGAAGCUUUUUUGCAGCACAAGCAACGAGAGAUUACAGGAGUGACCACUGCAGUUCCUACGACUGGCCAGAGAAAAGAAAGAAGAGGAAAAAGAAGAAAAUCCAAAUGGACAUUGGCUCCAUAUGCCCUCCUGGGCUCAUGAGAGUCCAAAUUACUGAUCGAUCGGUUCCCAUAGGAUCCCUCAAACCAAUGGGCCCUGGUGGGAGCUCCUCCAAGGAGUCUUCCCACCCUAGCUGACAACCUUACCCAUGAGCUCACAUUCCCCAGGGGGAGCAUACACUCCUUCGUACCCCGCAUAGGACAUCUCCUGCUGUGAGAAACACGCUUUUGAAUUUCAGUGGGUAAAGCGUUUCCUCUACCUUCUACAGCUAAGAGCUAAGGAGACAUUAUUUUGAGUUAUGGCAAGUCCAUCUACAACUAACUGAUGGUCUUUUAUAUUAGUUCUUCCCAGUUGAGCUAAUACAUUAGAUAGGAACCACUGAUUGGUUCCCAGUGCCUAUAGGGAAGACUGCAGGGGUGUUGCCAUGCACAUAGAUCACUUGUUCAUCUGACACCCUACCUUUAUUCUUUGUUCUGCAUCUCCCCGAAGUUAGGGGAGUCGGCCAGUACUACCCUGGUCCCAUUCAUUUCCUGUUCAAAUAGUAGGGAUUUCCUAUCGUGAAGCACAUCAGCACUUGGUGUCAUCUGCAAACUUAGUGAAGGUACACUCAAUCCCCUCAUCCAGGCCAUCAGUAAAGAUAUUGAACAGGACAGGUCCCAGCACCGACCCCUGGCAACUGGUUACCACCUGGCUGUGACUCCAUUCACCACCACUCCCUGGGUCCAGCCAUCCAGCCAGCUCUGUACCCAGCAAAGAGGAUAUCUGUCCAAGCCAUGGGCUGCCAAUACACCUUGCUUGAUCCAAAAAUUAUUCAUCUUCCUAAAGAGGUCCCAGCAGAGACCUUGCUGUGGCCUGAGAAAACCACUAAUUUACUGAUAAUCAGUGACUGAAAAGCAUUGCAACAAUUCACAGAGAAUACUUUUCCUGAGCAAUACCCUCUUCCUCUCACAUAAAACCAUACACCAAAUAAAACACACAUACUUAGAUGUAAUUAUCUCUGCAGUUGUGUAGGUAUAGUUGGGAACUGGCAAAUACUUUAUUCCUUCUGGCCCUCAGGUCCCACAAAUGCAUGAGGGAACUUAGCUCUCAGAACUGUUCUGAACAAUAAACCCCAUGUUUCUCUGCAGAA